UACGAAGGGGGCUAGCGUUGUUCGGAAUUACUGGGCGUAAAGGGCGCGUAGGCGGCCUGCUAAGUCGAACGUGAAAUCCCCGGGCUCAACCCGGGAACUGCGUCCGAUACUGGUUGGCUUGAAUCCGGGAGAGGGAUGCGGAAUUCCAGGUGUAGCGGUGAAAUGCGUAGAUAUCUGGAGGAACACCGGUGGCGAAGGCGGCAUCCUGGACCGGCAUUGACGCUGAGGCGCGAAAGCCAGGGGAGCAAACGGG
rnacentral:rRNA from 1 species